GACGAACGCUGGCGGCGUGCCUAAUACAUGCAAGUAGAACGCACAGUUUAUACCGUAGCUUGCUACACCAUAGACUGUGAGUUGCGAACGGGUGAGUAACGCGUAGGUAACCUGCCUGGUAGCGGGGGAUAACUAUUGGAAACGUUAGCUAAUACCGCAUAAUAUUGAUUAUUGCAUGAUAAUUGAUUGAAAGAUGCUAUUGCAUCACUACCAGAUGGACCUGCGUUGUAUUAGCUAGUAGGUGAGGUAACGGCUCACCUAGGCGACGAUACAUAGCCGACCUGAGAGGGCGAUCGGCCACACUGGGACUGAGACACGGCCCAGACUCCUACGGGAGGCGGCAGUAGGGAAUCUUCGGCAAUGGACGAAAGUCUGACCGAGCAACGCCGCGUGAGUGAAGAAGGGUUUCGGAUCGUAAAGCUCUGUUGUAAGAGAAGAACGGGUGUGAGAGUGGAAAGUUCACACUGUGACGGUAUCUUACCAGAAAGGGACGGCUAACUACGUG
rnacentral:rRNA from 1 species